UGCAUCGCAGAGACAGACAAGGCCAUCAUUGCGCUCGCAUACUCAGGCCCCGCGUCGACAGUGACCAGACCCGUGUGUGUCGGUCGGAUCCGCUUGCCUUCUCCGUCGGUGACACCACAAGAAGAAGAAGAAGAAUCACACACCAUACGAUAGGAUCCAUUGCUAAUGUUUAGUUUAGGUUUCUGAUGAAAGCUGGGGAUGCAAAUGAAACACAGGGUGCCUGCGAUAUUACCUCGUGGCUUGUCUGCUCCAGCCCAUGCAACACUCGUCUCAAAGAGUUCCUCGUGAUGAUGAUGAUGAUGACGACGACGGCGGCGGCAUGGCUGGCAUGAUGAUGACCUGAUUGGUGAGCUCUACUGAAACAGCCACUGUCAAAU
rnacentral:lncRNA from 1 species